rnacentral:lncRNA from 1 species
AUGGAUGAACUUUGUGUUGGAUUAAUGUCUAAGUCCAUAACUAUAUUUCGUAUGUACUUGACCCGACCCGGCAUGGUCCAUUUGGGUUGCACUUCACCGACACAAUUUAUAUGGAUAAUCUUUUGAGAAUAGUAUGUUUAUGAUUAAUAUUAAUAUAUUAUAAGUUCUAAUAUAUUAAUAUGGAAUCAUAUUAUUUAAUUAGUAUUGAUCAAGAAUUAAUUUAUAAUUAAUUAAGUGAUCAAAAGGAACUAAUUAAAUAUGGACUCUUAUAUAUAUGGAAUGGGCCAAGUUCAUUUAGGUUGGGCUAAGCUUUCAUGGAUAGUCCAUGGAGUGUUUAACCCAUGGAUCCUAGGAAAUGAAAGGUCAUGGGUAUUAGGGUUUAACCCUAAUCCUCCAUACUAUAUAAAGAUGUCUUUGGUUGGUGAAAUUGGCACUAGUGUGGAUACACUAAAGAAGGGCUAGCCAAUUUCACUAGAGAGAACCAAGUAAUCAUAUUCUCUAAAGUAUUCCAAGGUGUCUUGGUGAUUUGUGAUUCCACUUGAGGCUUCCACACUAUUGGGGCUAAGCUCUUAAAGCUUGAAGACAUCAAGCUACAUCAAGAGGUAUGUAUUCUAUCUUGUUACAUUCAUAGUUUUUGUAUGCUAGAUUAGGAUAAUACCUUGGAUGUUCUUAUUUGCAUGUAUAAUAGAGAAAACAUAGAUCCAAGGUAUUUAGGGUUGCAUGUACACUUAGGAAGUGUUAGAAUGCUCAAAACCCAACAGUGGUAUCAGAGCCACGGGUUGUUUUCUGUUAUAUUGAUGCAAAUAUUUUAUUUUCAAAGUUGAAAAAAAAAAAAAAAAAAAACAUGAAGUUUGUCAAAUUUUAAGAUAAUUACUUGUUCUUGUGAAAAACUAAUUAUUUGUAAAAUUUGAAUAAUUUGCUUUAUGAGUUGAAUUAGGUCAAAUUUAAUAAAAGAUAAAAUAAUAUGAUUAUUUUAUUAGUUUUAAAAGUUUGAUCUAAAGAGUUUUAUUUUUUGAAACCUCCAUAAGUUAUGGAUAUGAAAAGGUUUUAAAAAAAAAAUUGAUUCAAAGUUUUUUUGGAGUUACAAAAUUUGGUGUUAAUGUUUUAAAGGAUUCCAUAACUUAAGAAUAAGUUAUGGAUCACCAAAAGUUUUUUGUGUUACCUUGUUUUAUGAGUGAAUUUAGAUUAAUGAAUAAAAUUAUGUGAUAGUUGGUUUUAAUCCAAAUUAAUCUAAGAAUUGAUUCUAAAAUGUGUUUUUGUAACUUGUCCUCAAGUUAUAUGAAAAGUCACAUUUAAGAAUCAUAAAACUCAUAAAAAUUGGCAAAGGUUACAAAAAUGAAGAGUCUAGUUCUAAUUAAAUGGUUUUAUGACUCCAUAACUUGUCCUCAAGUUAUGGAGGACCAAGAGUCUCUUCAUUUAAUAAAAUAAAAUAAAAAAAAAAAAAGUGUAACCUUAAUUAAUUCCAUAAGUUAUAAAAUAAAGAAAAGUUAAUUCUUUUAUUAGUUUAAAGUCUUCCAUAACUUGUCCUCAAGUUAUGGAACUUGAAGAGUUUUUGGAUUAAAACUACUUUAAACACAUAAGUUAUGGAAUUAAUUAGUUUUGAAUAGUUUCAAAACUUGCCCUCAAGUUUUGGAAUUUGUAAAGUUUUCACUUAUGAAUACUUUAAUUCCAAGUUAGCCCUUAGAAUUUUAAAAGUUAAAAUUCAACCCUUAUACUUUAUAAUAUUAUAAGUUAAUAAUAUAUAUAUGUAUAAGAGUAAAGUCAGUCUUACCGCUAGUACGCCUCAUUCACGAAGCCGGUCUAUAAGGUGGGUAUAAGGUUGUUGCCUAUAAAAUGGCAACUUAAUGGGUGUCCACUCUCACCCACCGCUUGCUUGACUGGUGGAGGGUCGUUAGCCGAACGGGUUUGACAGGACUAGAAUUCUCCCUUCAUUAAAAGUAUUAAUGAUAAUACUAAGUAACUAAACUCUUAAUAAUACCCAAUCUUAGUUACUUAGGAAAAAUGUGAAUAAGGUGCUAAUCCAUGAAAUUACACUUUACACUUUGUCUAAGUCGUUAGUGGAGCGUGUGUGGUUAACCGGCACACUAACUUGGACUUAACAAGGUAGGUAAAGGGUGACUUAAUAUUUAUCAUAGUAUCGAUGGAGCGUGUGUGGUUAACCGGCACAUCGAUUGAGGGGUAAUUUAUUAAGGGUACCAAGUGAUUUGCAUGGUUACUUCACACCUUGUUUUGUGAUCCUCGGCAUCCCAGUCACAAAACCUGAAGGGCACACUCGAGAUUGAAACAUGCCUUUGAACAGUUCAAUGAAUCUCAAAGAUCUAGGAGUUUCAAAACCAAUUAAAACCUAAUAAUACAUUUCGUUUAUCUUGGUGGAAAUUGGUGAAUCGUCAUUCACCUACCUUCAAAUAUUUUAUAGCUUGGAUUACGGCAUACCUCUUCUAAGUUAUAAAAUAGUUUGUUGGGUCCUAGCCUUAAUAUUUCAUAUUGGGUGUCAUAUUAAGGACUUUAAAUCAACUAUCUUGAAUAUCUCCCAAAAGAUGUCUGGUUUAGACACCUAUGAUCUUCCCAAAUCUCUUGAAACAAGGUUUCCUAAUGAAGAUGAUGUCCCAUGGAUAUCAUACUUCUUUCUCCUCCUCCAAUUAUUCUCCCUAACCCACAAGUUCUUGAAAAGUUUAAGGUCACUCAAGCCCUAUUGGCAAGGCAAGGUCUAGGUGUGAUCACAUCUUGGAGAUGUAGUCACAUAUUGACAAGCCGGGAGAGUUGGGUGUCAAAGUCUUGAGAAAGUUGGUGGUUCAAUCACUUUCUAAGUCACAUAGUGAGUUCCUUUGGGACACCUAUGAAACAGACUAUGACAAGACCCUUAAUGAUCUUAUCUAUUUGCUAAGAUCAACUUCCUAAAACUUUAUGGACAUUGACAAUGAUGACAUUGGAUAUCCAGUAAAGCAUUCUCUUCCCAAUGGAAAGGGAUCGGCCAUAGUCAACUCGGUUGACCAAAUGGUAAAGAGAAAAGCUAAGUCUGUGAUAGUCUCGUGUACCAUUAUCAAAGGGUCCAUAUGUUUAUAUUGCCAAAGGAAGGGGCAUUGGUUGCGAAGCUGCCAAAUUUACCUAAGGAUGUUAAAGUCAAUAAGUUUGACUCUACUUCAGGUAAAGUCCACUAUCUAACUCUGUUAAGUUUCUAUUCUGAGAUUCCUGAUACAUGAUGUGACUGGGUCACAUGGUGAUGUUUUAAGAAUCAAAGAAAAGUGAAGAAACUUAAAGAAAGAAUAUGCUGAAUCUGAUGGCGUAGAUGGAUUUCUAUCGCAUAGUUUGAAGAUCGGAUUCUUGAGCAACUUCUUAGGAGUUAUGAGAUAUUGCUUAGGAAUAGAUAACAACAAGUUUUCAUAUGGAUUGUAAGGAUAAGUUUUUCCGCAAAGUUUUAAAAUAAAAGAAAAUUUUUUUGAUUUUAUUUAUUUUAAAAUAUCCUUACAAUGGCUUUUGAGGAAAAAUUGUUGCUUAUAUGAUUCCAUUAAGAGCAAGAGUGGAAAUAUGAAAUUGAUUCUUUCAUUUGUGGUAAUGUCUAGAUUUACCAAAUAAGGAAAGAUUCUCAUCACCCAAGUUUCAAUUGGACCGGAACUUGGAAUCAUGCAAGUUGUAUAGCAUGAUGAAUGAGAACUUUCAAGUUUUGGAAAAUUAAGACUAAUUACUCGGCCACAUGGAUGUGUGAGUCAAGUAAAGGACUAAGGGAUCGAGUACACAUUCUUGUGCACUGAUUAAGUCCACCACAAAAGAUUGAUAAGACUAUUCGUCAUAGUUUACUAAAGCUCAGUAAAUAUGAUUAUACUUACAAGCUUAAGUGUAACUCUGAGACAUUGGAAAAGGUUCCAAUGUAUGGCAGGGCGAAUAAGAAGAAUCAAAUUAGGCAGAAGGAUAAAAGUUUCUCAAAUCUGAAAAGAUGGGAGAGUACUUUAGUAUCAGUUUUGUGAUCAUCUUAAUGAUUAAGAAACCAUAUCAAAAUUAGUUCUCUAAGGAAAUCUUAGUGCAUUCUUAUGACUAAGAAGAGGAACUUGAAUUGUUGAAAUGGUUAAAUCAAGAAGAUGAGUCAUACUUCGUUCCAAUACAAGUCUUAGAGUCAUACUCCAAGAUUGUCAUUUGAGUGACAUGUCUUAAAGAAGGUUUAAAACACUUGUCAAAUGUAAGAGUAAAAGUUUUCUACUCUUGUACAUUUGAAAUUGGUAAGUUGUGAUGUUUUGGAUAAAACAAAGACCAACUUAGGCCAAUUGGGUAAAGUGUUUUUCUUGAUUAGAAUCCGCACUAUCUCUUGGAUGUUUGACAAGGGAGUCUUAUAUGUCAAGAGGACAGUGGGAGUCUUAAAGGUCUUGAAAGUCUCAAGAACUAAUCAAGAAUAAAACCUGAAGUUCUUCACUAGCACACGACUUGAGGUUUAUAACCUAUCGUGUUGACAUAUCUGUGCCCAUUCCAGUUAAAGUUGGCUUUGCAUAUGAGUUCUUAGAGUUCUCAAUUUGUUGCACAACAACUUGGAAGCAAUGGCAGGCCCUUGAGCUGCCAGGUGGCAAGAAAUUAAGAUUGAGUUCAGUCCAUAUGAGUUUGGAUUUGUCAUUAUCCUUGUCUUGUGACUAUGGUUUUGACAAUUCACAUGGAUAAGAACACAUACACCAUUAAAUCUAAGUGUCAUAAGGUUUCUCUCCGAUUCAUGAAAAUGAUGGUGAGGAAACACUUUCACUAAGUAGAUUUUAGCUAGAUAGCAAUUGUGAUAUUUGCAUUCUCAAAGUCGUUAGUGGAGCGCGUGUGGUUAACCGGCACACUAAUUUGGACUUGUGAGAAGUGGCAAAAAGGUCUAAACAUUAUGAUUACGGCAUCCCUCUUCAUAAUUGUUUAGAUACACAAGUGUGCUAUCUAAGGGAAGGUGUAUGAUUUUGAUAAAGUUUUAUCAAAACAAUCUAGCAUCAGAAAUCUGAACUUUGGUAAGAAAGUCAAUGAAGUAUUGAUUUCUAGAAGUCCAGCUGAUUUCUGAGUACAUGUCAAAGCUAGUGGGAGCAUAAGUGUUAUGCUAAUAAUCAUCAUGUUAGUGGGAGCAUGAUAAUUAUGAUAAGUAUUGCAAGUUAGCAAUGUUAAUUAUAGAAAACAAAAGUUUCAAUUGGGAAAAAGUUGUUUUGCUAUAAUUAAGGGAGAGGAAAUUAUACUUCAUCUCAAAUCUAUAAGCUUAGAUCGUGAGGUUUUAAUCAUUUAGUCAAGGAUAUAUAUGAAUUUCAUGUUGGAAUGGCUCAACAUAAGGAAAUUCUGUAUAUGGGUCCAUUAUUUGCGUUCUAAAAUUCGAUUAUGAUUACGGCAUCCCUUUUCAUAAUCUGAAUUAUGAGAACUUGGCAAAUUGAAAUGGAAAUAUUAUAGCAAAAGACUGGUUUAGUCUUUAUGUAAGACAUCAUGAAUCGUGUCCCAUAUGCUUCGGAUAUAGGAUCGAUUACAUGUGCUAUAUUCAUCCGUUCUAAAAUUUUCCAAAUGCCUGGGGCAUUAAGAAGGGAAAAGGUUUAGAACUGGAUAUGACUAAAAGGAUUAAACAAUUGUCGAGGACAAUCUAAGGUUUACCAAAGAUUGGUUGCUCAAGGACAGUUGGAAGUAUAGUGAUAAUUCUGGAAGGACCAUAUUGACAUAAUCUGUAAGGAGGCAACUCUUGUUCAGAAGUGAUAGUCAAAAUGGAAUCUGGAAAUGUUUCAAAGUUAGAAUUUUCAAUCUGUUUAAGAUUAGGAAACUUAAUGCAAGAAGGAUGUUUCCAAGGAGCUGAUCUCCUUUGGAAUACUCUGUAAUGAUUGUUGUCAAGUCUUUCUGACUUUGUGCAUAAUCAUUACAAGAGGAUCAAUGCAUAUAAGUUUAGAAUCUAACAGAUUUCAGUAAAUGGCAUGAAUUUGGAAUUCUUGCAUUUGCAGUAAGGAUUUGGGAGUGUGAAAAGAGAAUCAUUGAAGUUAUGUUCAAUUGAUCUAGUUCACAAAGUAAAGAUCAUAGACAAACAUAGUAUGCAUACUUGGUGUGUGGCAUGACUAGUGUUUAAGAAAACAUAGUGUACAUGCUUGGAGCAUGGGACAACUAUUGUUUUAAAUUCAAGAAUAAAGUUGAUAGCUGAAACAGUAUACAAUGAAUAAUGUGUAAUCAUAUGGUGAUAAAUAAAAGGUGUUUUAUUUAUGUUCAAAGAUUUGAUACCAUAUUGGAUUCAAUUAUUAUUGUGUUUCACUUUGCAUGUUUUGACUUCCCGAAUAAACUAGGUUAUUCUUCCGGAAUGACUAAGUUAUUCAAACCAUCCACAGUCGGUCAUAUGUUGGAAGUAGAUAUGAAUUAAGACUGUCAUGGGUUGGCUUGUAGAGGUCUAAGGUGUUGGACAAAGGGCUACAACACUCAUGAGUGCUCAUAAGUUCUGAGUAUUGGAUUCAACCCGCGCUCAUUGGAAUCACUUCAUGGAUUUUAUCACGAGUGAUCAUGAGACGAUAAUAUCUUAUAUUCUUCAAACCUAGAGAUAUGAGUUGUUACUAUGAGUUGGUUGUACAUUGAUUGCACGAAAACGCAUUUGGUAACUCGGUGCUAUAAAACGUGCCUUUGUGUAUGAUUCAACAAGUAGUAGAACAAGCCAUAUGAGUCGAAGUUUAUCCAUUCCUUUUACCUUCGGGAUAAAAGCGAUAUCUGUGGGCCCCUCGAUGAUUUGAUGAUGACAAAUGGAAGUGCUCGGCCGGGCCAGGACUGAUUUGAUUUGUUCAAUUAGUCAGUCGUCAUAAAUCGGAAAUCGGGAAACAACAAAUGGACAGAGAGAAUGAUUAUAAUCCAUGUCUCAGUCCAUAUGAUAUCUAGAAUGGAGGAAUAUAUGAUCCCUUAUCUAAUGGACAAGUUCGUUGACAAGAUCAGAGUUCGACAGCAGCUUUAAGAGCUACGAUUGCCAGUUAGGUUUGAAGUCAUACGCAAUAAUAGUUUUAGACUUAUCCAAGUGGGAGACUGUUGGAUUAAUGUCUAAGUCCAUAACUAUAUUUGGUAUGUACUUGACCCGACCCGGCAUGGUCCAUUUGGGUUGCACUUCACCGACACAAUUUAUAUGGAUAAUCUUUUGAGAAUAGUAUGUUUAUGAUUAAUAUUAAUAUAUUAUAAGUUCUAAUAUAUUAAUAUGGAAUCAUAUUAUUUAAUUAGUAUUGAUCAAGAAUUAAUUUAUAAUUAAUUAAGUGAUCAAAAGGAACUAAUUAAAUAUGGACUCUUAUAUAUAUGGAAUGGGCCAAGUUCAUUUAGGUUGGGCUAAGCUUUCAUGGAUAUUCCAUGGAGUGUUUAACCCAUGGAUCCUAGGAAAUGAAAGGUCAUGGGUAUUAGGGUUUAACCCUAAUCCUCCAUACUAUAUAAAGAUGUCCUUGGUUGGUGAAAUAGGACUAGUGUGUGGAUACACUAUGAGGGCUAGCCGAUUUCACUAAGAGAGAACCAAGUAUUCAUAUUCUCUAAAGUCUUCCAAGGUGUCUUGGUGAUUUGUGAUUCCACUUGAGGCUUCCACACUAUUGGGGCUAAGCUCUUAAAGCUUGAAGACAUCAAGCUACAUUAAAAAGGUAUGUCAUCUAACUAGUACUUUGUAGUAUAAGAACUUCAUAAUAUGCUUGUUAGGAUUAAAGCCUUGGAAAGUUCUUAUUUGCAUGUAUUAUAGAGAAAACAUAGAUCCAAGGUUUAUAGGGUUG